UCACCUGGUAAAUAACUUUUACAUUAAAUAUUUUGUUCUUUGCUAUCAAAAGUAAAUUAACUAAUAACCUGCAUUAUUGCAGGACACUCAGCAAAAUAUGGACUACACCAUGAGGCAGGCACACGUUAAUAACUCUAUAAGAGCACAUAAGCCUGGCUGAUCACCUGAUAACUCCUGUCAUCUGGUUAUGACAGCAUGAGGAUGUCCUCACACACCUGUAACCUACCAGCUCAUCUGGUAGAAUAGAGAGAGAAGAGACAACACCACAUCUCCUGUUCCUGGAAAGUCUUCAGCCAUCCUUCGAUGACUGAGAACCUCCAUCAGCUCUGUCUCCUGUCUGCCUACAAUUAUUAUAAUAAAUAUUGUGUUUGACAAGUUU